GCUGGGUCCUCCAGGGAAAUGCCCUGGCUGCUGGCCAGAGUGUCUGCCCUCUUUAGAUCCACCCCAGGUCUUCCAGCAUGCGAGGAGCAGAAGGGAACUGGCACCCAAAGUGGAGCAUUAUGCCCGGCACCACAGUGCAUAUGCAGGGGCGUGCAUGGUGGCAAAAAGCAGAAGCAAAUUUGUACAAGUGCACACCCCUGCAUGUGAGGAUGUGGCCUGGAAGGUCUUUCUAUGGUCACAACUCAUACAUGUGGUAAGCUACAAAUACUCUGGAUCUAUUACCUUUGAGGCUUUUCUUAGCUGCCUACACCUUAACACUUAGAGACCAGUGGCUCAAAACCCACUUAUUCCUAGGUUUGUGUAUAUAUCAGCCAAAUUUAAGUUUUAUUCUUGGGGUGUUUUUUUUAAAAUCUUUUGAAUGCUAACUUUAUGUAAACUAAUGUCAUGCAUCUUCUUCCUACAGAUGCACAGUACCAAUGCUUCUGCUGUCACUCAGAUCAGUGGUUCUCAACCUUUUUAGACUCAAGGCAUCUCUUGGAAAAUUCCAGUUCUUUGACUACAGGGAAACAGUAGAUUGAUUUUUCUGUUGCAAAGAACUUAGAAACAGCACAAUAGGUCAGAAUGUUUUUAACUCCAUGGAUUCCUAGUUGAAAUGUCUGUGUUUAUCUCAUGAAUUGUGUCUGUACAUCUAACAGCACUAGCAUUGUGUGACACCCUUGAAAGGAUCUAAAGGCAAUUCAAAUUACUGCAGCACCCUGGUUACUGCAGCACUGACUCAGAUAUUUCCCAGGCAACAAUGAAAGGAGGACCUAAGGCUAGAUCCUACUAAGCAGACUUAGCUCCCUGUGGAACAUACUCAAAAAUCACAGCACAUUUGCUGUUCUGUCUCAUGUCUGGACAGGACACAAAAUCCCAGUUGUCUGAAACAGGGUUGUCUGCCCAAUUUCAAGAGAGCUCAUCCAUUGGAAAACGACAGAGGAGAAAAAAGAUCUGGGUAUAUUAGCUGAUCAUAGGAUGACACAGCUAUAAAAAGUGAUUUGUGACUGCAUCAGAUGAAUUAUUUCCACUGGAGAUAAAGAAGCAUGGUGGCCUUUAAACAAGACCUAUCACUAUCUGAUAGGACGUGUAAAAUUUUGUUCAACCAUGUUCAAGAAGGAAGAACUCAAAAUGGAACAGAUGCUGGAAAAGUUCACUAGAAUAAUAAGGGGAACACAGAACUUAUCAGGAAACAUUAGCAUAAAACAGAGAAUGGUCCAGCUGCUAUGUGUAAAUAUGGUGGAGUAUAUAUACACCAAAGAGGAAAAAUGACCAUUUAAGCUAAAGAAAAAAAAGGGGAAUAAAGUGGCAAUGAAGAAAUAUGAUGGAAACUUAAAAAAUGAAUUUCCGGAACAGCUUCCCAAUAGAAGUAGAAAUAAAAAUUCAGCCACUUUUAACACGGAGCUUAAGAGGUUAUAUGAUGUGGUUACCUCAGCUCAGUGACCAGAUGGUUCCUUUCAGUCCUAUGUUUCUAACUGUACUCAGCCAGUUUUGUGAACAAGAUGUCAAGGGUGAAUCAGGUCAAAUACUCCACUUAGCAGGGAGCCUUCACCUGGGAAAUCAUAGAAGGACUUUGUAUUUUUCCUUUCCUUUUCAGUAUUUUCUACAUUAAACUAGUAGCCAAAAACACAGAAUUUUUAUAAGGCAUUUUUGUUUUGUUUUCUGAGUCAUUUUAUCUAAACUCCAGUGCAACUAAUAUACUUGGGAGAAAAGCCCUAUCAACUUUCAAAGAUUUGCUAAUGUUUAUACAUUCAUGCACAUAGGCAUCAUAUAUUGUAUUCCUGUAUAAAAACUACCCUGAAUAUUUUUAGCUCAGCAUGCCUAUAGAAAUAAUACUAAUAAAACAAGAGAACAUUCUUUUGAAGUAUCUUUCAUAAAUAGAAAGCAAGAGUCUAACAAAAGCCCUACAUGUCUCUGUUCAAAGAGCAAUGUAUAAGUUAGAUCUAAGGAAGCAUUACUUGAUGGUUACGUUGGAACUAUGUAAGGCCAACUUUCUCAAUAUUGUCUGGAGACCCAUCGUUCCAUAACCUCAGGCUACUACCAGCCCUGUGAUGCCUGUAAAAAAAUGGAGCUAUGUGUGUAUCGGUAUUUGAUGAACUGCAUGAAUAAAUGUUUAAU